CGCAGGGCUGACCUUGAUCGCCCACCUGUGCCCCAGCCGCCGCCCGGGCUGCGCUGCAGGGACCGCCCGGGAUUGAGCGGGGGACGGGCCUCCCGGUCGGUCCUGCGCUAGCGGAGGAGGAUGCUGCCCUGGUCGCCAGCUUCACGUGGCUUCUGCUUGUCAUUGCGUGGCCACAGACCGCCUGCAGCCCCAGUCGGCUCCUAUCAGACAUCACCGUCCGGAGAGGCCACAGCUACCAGCCAUGACAGAGUCCUGCCAGUCUGUCUCUCGGGCGCCCCUUUGGUCUGUCCUCACCUGCCCUCUUGCCGUGCUCCUGGCCGAUCGUUGUAGGCGCUGCACCAACGUCCUCAGGUUUGCACCCUCCCUCCCCAGGCCAGUCCAGAUACUUGUGACGUUCUUUUGCAUCCUGGGACCCGCGCAGGACCACGUAGGGGGUAAGGAGCCGGGCCUCACCCCAGCAGCACCUCCUAGGACUGCCGGUCACAUCACGCGAUAGGGUGCUCUUUGCCCUGCGCUCGCCACACUUUUCACCUGGCGCUGGUCCAGCUCAGCUCUGGCGUGAACUUGUCCUGAGCUUUUUCCUCCUCAAAACCUCCCAUCUUUUGCUGCACAUCAGGGUGGCUUCCCACCCCCUUGUCCCUGUACCCAGGAGGGGGCUGCACACGAUCUGAGCUUCUGUUUACUUCGUGGAAGCAGCGGACCAGACCCCAUGGUUAUCGAGCCCUGGUCUGGGUAGACAGCACAGCCAUUCUCACCAUCGUUCUCUGGACACACUCACCAGUGCUGGUUACACAAGCUACCCAUGCCUGCGGGUGAUGCAGGUAUCGAUGAAAUCCAGAGUCUUCGCGAAGGAAAAGUAGCCAAAGUCAUGUGAAUAAUGCAGAGUUGAAGAAUCAGCCGUUAAUUAACCUGAGUUUCAUCAGCCAUUCAAAAAUCUCAGAUGAGUGC